rnacentral:rRNA from 1 species
GACGUAGGGCGCGAGCGUUGUCCGGAUUUAUUGGGCGUAAAGAGCUCGUAGGCGGUCUGUUGCGUCGGCUGUGAAAACCCGGGGCUCAACUCCGGGCCUGCAGCCGAUACGGGCAGACUAGAGUACUGCAGGGGAGACUGGAAUUCCUGGUGUAGCGGUGGAAUGCGCAGAUAUCAGGAGGAACACCGGUGGCGAAGGCGGGUCUCUGGGCAGUAACUGACGCUGAGGAGCGAAAGCGUGGGGAGCGAACAGG